rnacentral:rRNA from 1 species
UACGAAGGGUGCAAGCGUUACUCGGAAUUACUGGGCGUAAAGCGUGCGUAGGUGGUUUGUUAAGUCUGUUGUGAAAGCCCCGGGCUCAACCUGGGAAUGGCAAUGGAUACUGGCAAGCUAGAGUGCGGUAGAGGGUAGUGGAAUUCCCGGUGUAGCGGUGAAAUGCGUAGAUAUCAGGAAGAACACCAAUGGCGAAGGCAGCUCUCUGGGACGGUACUGACGCUGAGACGCGAAAGCGUGGGGAGCGAACAGG